CGUCUUGCAAGAAGCGUUCUCUCGUUCCACGAUCCGUUCGGUCGAAUUAAGACAAAGACGAGACAAGAUUGCAAAUGAAACGAGUAUCACGAACGAAGCAAACCGAGUGCUUCGUAUAUCAGAGCCAAUUUACCGGCCAUUAUACGUUUGCUCACUAACGGCUUCUUCGUGUGGUUUAGUUUAUUGGUCAAGCGCGAAAAUAUUGGAGGGUACCAUGGAGGAGUCUAUGCACAUACGACGUCUAAUAAAUCUCGAUUAACGCGACCACGGUGGCAAUGAAAAGCGAGAUCCCCUUUGAAUUUAUGAUUACUUCUACACCCAUCAAUGCCAUCGAUAACGAAUCACGAGUCACGAUGAUUGGCGAAUUCUUCUUCCACCGAAAGGAUUUGUGCCCCCGUUCCAAGAAAUACCCGAGAAAUACCCGAGAAAUCGUGAAACUCCCCGGCUACUUUACGCUUUCGAUUGGAUUACCUCGAAAUUUCACCUAAAACAACCGGCGAGGAACCUCGUAACAGGAUCGUCCGAUCGAUCCCCCUUUGAACUCAAUCAAGGCGGCUGAUAUCCGAGAGAGUAUUUACAAGUGCUCGCGCGCGGCAGAGUCGCAGUCGUUACACGGAUUGCGAACGAACCCAGGCAACUUCGUUACUAUAAUCUCCCGAAAAGAAAGUGGU